rnacentral:misc_RNA from 1 species
UCCGGCUUAGCACCGGCAGUCCCACUAAAGUGCCAAAAUUAAUUGGGGCAACUAGUAGUAAGGGUUGCGCUCGUUGCGUCACUUAAGACAACAUCUCACGACACGAGCUGACGACAGCCAUGCAGCACCUGUGUCUAGGUUCCCGAAGGCACAAUCUAAUCUCUCAGAUCUUCCUAGCAUGUCAAGAGCAGGUAAGGUUUUUCGCGUUGCAUCGAAUUAAUCCACAUCAUCCACCGCUUGUGCGGGUCCCCGUCAAUUCCUUUGAGUUUUAAUCUUGCGACCGUACUCCCCAGGCGGUCUACUUCUCGCGUUUGCUUCGCUACUAAGAUAAAUCCCAACAGCAAGUAGACAUCGUUUAGGGCGUGGACUAC